AGUGUUUAAGAAAGUGACUGCCAAUCUGUG
rnacentral:piRNA from 1 species